CGGCCGCGUCGACGUGAGGUAAUGGCUCACCUAGGCGACGAUACAUAGCCGACCUGAGAGGGUGAUCGGCCACACUGGGACUGAGACACGGCCCAGACUCCUACGGGAGGCAGCAGUAGGGAAUCUUCGGCAAUGGGGGGCAACCCUGACCGAGCAACGCCGCGUGAGUGAAGAAGGUUUUCGGAUCGUAAAGCUCUGUUGUAAGUCAAGAACGGGUGUGAGAGUGGAAAGUUCACACUGUGACGGUAGCUUACCAGAAAGGGACGGCUAACUACGUGCCAGCAGCCGCGGUAAUACGUAGGUCCCGAGCGUUGUCCGGAUUUAUUGGGCGUAAAGCGGGCGCAGACGGUUACUUAAGCAGGAUGUGAAAUCCCCGGGCUCACCUGGGAACUGCGUUCUGAACUGGGUGACUAGAGUGUGUCAGAGGGAGGUAGAAUUCCACGUGUAGCAGUGAAAUGCGUAGAGAUGUGGAGGAAUACCGAUGGCGAAGGCAGCUCCUGGGAUAACACUGACGUUCAUGCCCGAAAGCGUGGUAGACCG
rnacentral:rRNA from 1 species